AAUACAACUCUCGGCAACGGAUAUCUCGGCUCUCGCAUCGAUGAAGAACGUAGCGAAAUGCGAUACUUGGUGUGAAUUGCAGAAUCCCGUGAACCAUCGAGUCUUUGAACGCAAGUUGCGCCCCAAGCCAUUAGGCYGAGGGCACGUCUGCCUGGGUGUCACGC
rnacentral:rRNA from 1 species